rnacentral:lncRNA from 1 species
CGCGAUUUGUGCUGGAGCCACAGGCCUGUGAUCGUGCAAAUUGGGGCCCGUCCCUUGGGCCCAACAGGUCUAACGCAAGUCCUCGCGUCCCAGCCUACUGAGUCCUGCAAAUUCAACUCUAAGCCGGUUCGAAACCCAGCCCGCGGUGGUCGGGCGACACCUUCCUGGGCGUGGCCCGCGGGAUACCUCGCGGUCACAGGGGCCCGGGCUGACAGCUGUCACUUCUCAGAAGUCGGCGGGAAGAAGCGCGGAGCUCAAAGGGCUGGGAGGCCGCGGUUAGUAAGGAGCCUGUCCGGCCCUGCUCGGCUCCCGGCUUCUUCUGACAGGCGGAAUUUCCUGAUUGGCUGUGGGUCCUUGUUCACAACACUGCUGAUCAUCCUAUCCAAGACUAUAAAAUGUGGCUACUAUGAAGUUUGUGCUUCCAUAGAUGGCUUGCACUCUGUUCCUGCUGCCCAGUCAGGGCUCCAGGGGUCACCACCAAAUGACAGCAAGGACACAGGACAGAAGCAUCUGGACAACACACCAAGGAAUACGAUGGACAAAUGUCAGACUCAUGAAAAUGCAGCCGAGAAACAAAGAAAUGACAAUUUGGGACAGGGUGAGGUGGACAGAGAAGGAAAGAAACUGUGGAGGAAACUGCUUGUUAUAGCAGACAUUAAACACAUCACCACCUGAUCUCAGUUUGCAGAUUUUAUGGGAAUACUGUUUCAAAGAAACAAAAUUAAACAACAAAUGGGCAUUUUCAACACUGACUUACAAUGAAAUAUUAACAACUGGUAGCAACUUGUGCUGGGUAGAACAAAAAUGAAGCCCAGAAAACAGAUGCAACACACCUAACCCAAAAGGCACA